rnacentral:rRNA from 1 species
UCGCGAAAACUUUGCAAUACACGAAAGUGUGACAGGGCUAUCCCGAGUGCCAUCCGCUGAGGAAGGCUUUUACCCAGUCUAGAAAGCUGGGAGAAUAAGGAGAGGGCAAGACUGGUGUCAGCCGCCGCGGUAAUACCAGCUCUCCGAGUGGUGUGGAUGUUUAUUGGGCCUAAAGCAUCCGUAGCUGGCUGGGCAAGUCCCCUGUUAAAUCCACCGAUUUAAUCGUUGGUGUGCGGGGGAUACUGCUCAGCUAGGGGACGGGAGAGGCAGACGGUAUUUCCGGGGUAGGGGUGAAAUCCUAUAAUCCCGGGAGGACCACCAGUGGCGAAGGCUGUCUGCUAGAACGCGCCCGACGGUGAGGGAUGAAAGCUGGGGGAGCGAACCGGAUUAGAUACCCGGGUAGUCCCAGCUGUAAACGAUGCAGGCUAGGUGUUUGGGCGGCCACGUGCCGCUCUAGUGCCGCAGGGAAGCCGUUAAGCCUGCCGCCUGGGGAUACGGCCGCAAGGCUGAAACUUAAGGAAUUGGCGGGGG